GCCGUCCCCUUCCACAGGGUGGAAGCUUUGUUCUUUUGCUCUUUACAAUAAAUCUUACUGCUGCUCACUCUUUGGGUCUGCACCACCUUUAAGAGCUGUAAUACUCACCAUGAAAGUCCGCAGCUUCAUUGUUGAAGUCAGUGAGACCAAGAACCCACCAGAAGGAAGAAACUCCGGACAUAUCUGAAGACCCGAAGGAAGAAACUCCAGACACACAAUCUUUAAGAGCUGUAACACUUGUUGUGAAGCACAUCUCAUUUUAAAUCUGCCACAUUCCAGGUUCUUAGUAGCCUCAAAUGUCAAGUAGCUGCCACAUCAAAGAGCAGCUCUGAGGGAUCUGACUCUCUGAUCUCAGGGAGCUGAAGGGCCUAAAUACCCGCUUUCUGCUGGAAAUGAGGGAACAGCCUCUCCCUGCUGCAGCUUGCCAUGGUUACCACAGGACUGAAUGAAGGAGGACAAAUGAGAAAUGAAAACCUAAAACAAAAGAAACUAUUUUAAAGGAAGGGGCCAGGGGAAGAAGAAGAGGACGCCCUGCGUCUGGUGAGUGAAGACAGCCACCUUGAGCUUCUACAGCCCUUCAUAUUUAUUGGGUAGAAAAAGCAGGAAGGAGGAGGUAAUGUUUGGUCAGCUGCUUGAGUGAUCACAGGUUCACAUUAUUGCUAACAGGCUUCAGAUGUGCCUAAUUACAAGAAGCACUGUGCUUGGGGUGUGACUGCCCUCAGCAUUCUUUCUGGGUGGCAGAUGCAGUUGUCAGCUGCUAACAUCCUGCAUUUAUGAGAACAGUUUGCUGUUUACUAAUAUAGCCUCCAGUGGUAUACUGAGUUGAUCACAACCCUCACUCUUUUGGCCUGCAACAUCUCCUUAUAAACUUCUCCGUUCAGGCCCAAAGAUGGGAGGGACAGUGCCCCUAGAAUGAGCAGCCACUGCAAGCAGGAAGUGUCCACAUGUAGACCAUUGUCUCCCAGUUUCUGUUUGGUGAGAAUUCCUCUUCCUUCCAAACAUCAGACAGUAAACAAUGGAUGAUAGGGCCCCAGCAACAGGGAACCCCAUGUCUUCAGGACUCUUUAUAGUGUUGACCUCCAAAGUUUAGAUGUGGAGAAAAUAGACUAAAGGCUGAUAUGGUUUUGUUCUGUGUCCCCACUCAAAUCUCAUCUUGAAUUGUAAUCCCUACAUGUCAGGGGAGAAACCUGGUGCGAAGUGAUUGAGUCAUAAGGGGCAGACUUCCCCUUGCUGUUUUGUGAUAGAGUUCUUAUGAGAUCUGGUUGUUUAAUAAAUGUGUUUCUUCCUCUCUCUUUCUUUCCUGCCACCUUGUGAAGACGGGCCUUGUUUUCCUUUUGCUUUCUGCCAUGAUUGUAAGAUUCCAGAGCCCCCCUUAGCCAUGUAAAACUGUGAGUCAAUUAAACCUCUUCUCUUAAACUACCCAGUUUCAGGUAGUUCUUUACAGCAGUGUGAAAAUGGACUAAUACAAAGGCCAACUUCUUAUUUUGCCGUUUGGCCUUGGACCUAAUUGUUCAGCUGUAGCUGCGUGUUUUUCUCCUGUGAUGUGGGGCACUGUGUGAGUUUCAGCACCAAUCACAUGCAUCCACAUCUACCUGCUCUUCUGUAUAACUCAGUACCAUCUAAGUGAAAUCUAACUUUAAAUGAAGGAAAAAGAAAAUUAAUACUUAUAGGGUGCCAAACAUCUGGAGGUUAUUUGUAAUUAAACUUUACUGAAAUCCUUACAUCCUGCCUAUAAUAAAUGUAUUUUUUAGUAAGACAUAACUGCAUAACAAACUAUCCCAAAGCUUACUAGCUCAUUAUUGAGCUGGUUAGAAAUUUAGGCUGAGCUCAGCUGGGCUUCUUCAGGCAUGAAUGGUCAGCUGAUGGCAGAUUAGGUGGCUCUGCUUCUGAGAGUGAGCUGUCUGUCAACUGGGGCACUUUGGUUUUUCUCCCCAUGAUAUUUUAUUUUUCAGCAGGCUAAAAUGGGCUUUUAAGACCAAAACUGGCACACUGUCAUAUUCACAGUUUUGCCCCAUGCAAAUAAGACCAGAAAGAUCCAAGGUUUGAAAAACAGAUUCUUCCUGUUGAUGGGAACUACUAUAAAAGCAUAUUGCUAAGGGCAUGACUAUAAGAAUGAAUAAAAAGAAUUGUUGUAUUUUCAAUCAAUAUUAUUAUACCUUUUCUUGCACAUAAGAUUUAUAUAACUGUCCCACAGCUACUAAGCUGCUGGGCUGGGACUCAGGAUUAACUCUGUCUGAGUCCAAAUCUCAUUCACCUCAAUAGACCACACUACUCAGCCAGGUUUUCUAGUCCAUCGAGGUCCUGGAGAGAGACACUUCUGAAAUAGAAGCUAUAUAUAUAUAUAUUCUCAUUCCAUUUACCUAGUACUCUUCAAACAUUGAAAUAAAUUCAUUAUCACCAGAGAAUACUGCUGAAGCCUGUGGGAAAAACAGAGGAAAUGGCUGAGCACUGAGUUUAGAAAUUAAGGCCUAAAAUUAUAUUUUUUAUUUCUUAUCACAGGAGAAAUUUGAAAACACCUAUAAUGCACUCCAUAUAUCUGCAAACUCUUUGUAUCUCUCUUUGGUAUUUGUAGACUAUGUAUGAGUUCCAAAACAAACUACAUCAAAUUACUGUGCCUGAUAGAGCUGCUGACUAUUUUCUUCUGCUGCAAUUUGGCUGAACAGUUGUGGAUGCCUUAAAAGGCAAAGAUAUUUUAUAAGACCACAAAUUUAGGAGUAGCUAUAGGGCAAAGCCCUGAAGCACAUAUAAAAAUCACACAACCGAUGCAUUCCUCACCCUGAAUCAAUGCUUUUCACCCCUGGCUGCAUAUUAGUACAAACUGAAGUGGGGUUAUUUAAAGUCCCCAAACCCAAUUUGCAAUGGAACAAUUAAUCAAAAUUCCUGGAGUGAGACCCAGGCAAUAGUGUGAUAUGAAGGUCUCCAGGUGAUUGCACUAUUCAGCCAAACCCCCAAAUCACUGCUUUAAACUAACAUCAUUUGGUUAACUAGUUGAAAAAAAAAAUUUUUUUUUUUGAGACGGAGUUUCACUCUUGUUGCCCAGG
rnacentral:lncRNA from 10 species